CCUACGGGUGGCAGCAGUGAGGAAUAUUGGUCAAUGGGCGAGAGCCUGACCCAGCCAAGUCGCGUGAAGGAUGACGGCCCUACGGGUUGUAAACUUCUUUUGUCAGGGAGCAAAUGAGUCCACGUGUGGUCUUAGCGAUAGUACCUGAAGAAAAAGCAUCGGCUAACUCCUUGCCAGCAGCCGCGGUAGUACGGAGGAUGCGAGCGUUAUCCGGAUUUAGUGGGUUUAAAGGGUGCGUAGGCGGAAUAUCAAGUCAGCGGUAAAAAUUCGGGUCGAAACCCCGUCGGGCCGGUGAAACUGAUGUUCUUGAGUGGGCGAGAAGUAUGCGGAAUGCGUGGUGUAGCGGUGAAAUGCAUAGAUAUCACGAAGAACUCCGAUUGCGAAGGCAGCAUACCGGCGCCCAACUGACGCUGAAGCACGAAAGCGUGGGUAUCGAACAGGAUUAGAUACCCCGGUAGUC
rnacentral:rRNA from 1 species